CGGACGGGUGAGUAACACGUGAGAAUCUGCCGUCAGGAGGGGUGAUAACGGCUGGAAACGGACGCUAAUACACCAUAUGCCGUGAGGUGAAAUGAAUCCUCGCGUGAGGAUGAGCUCGCGUCUGAUUAGCUAGUUGGUGGGGUAACGGCCUACCAAGGCUUCGAUCAGUAGCUGGUCUGAGGGGAUGAUCAGCCACACUGUGACUGAGACACGGCCCAGACUCGUACGGGAGGCAGCAGUGGGGAAUUUUCCGCAAUGGGCGAAAGCCUGACGGAGCAACGCCGCGUGAGGGAUGAAGGCCUCUGGGCUGUAAACCUCUUUUAUCAAGGAAGAAGAUCUGACGGUACUUGAUGAAUAAGCCACGGCUAAUUCCGUGCCAGCAGCCGCGGUAAUACGGGAGUGGCAAGCGUUAUCCGGAAUUAUUGGGCGUAAAGCGUCCGCAGGCGGUCUUUUAAGUCUGUCGUCAAAGCGUGGAGCUUAACUCCAUUUCUGCGAUGGAAACUGGGAGACUAGAGUGUGGUAGGGGCAGAGGGAAUUCCCGGUGUAGCGGUGAAAUGCGUAGAUAUCGGGAAGAACACCAGUGGCGAAGGCGCUUUGCUGGGCCAUAACUGACGCUCAUGGACGAAAGCCAGGGGAGCGAAAGGGAUUAGAUACCCCAGUAGUC
rnacentral:rRNA from 1 species